UUCUAUCUUGGAUGCACAUCUCUGCCCGCAACCUUGCCCUCUACCUUCUACUGUGGGAUGAUGAUACAGCCCAUGGAAGAUGCAGGUCCCUCAGCCUUGAACUUUCCAACCUCUAGACCUGCAUUCCAGAAGGCCCAUCUCACAAGUGACUAGAUCUCAUCAAAUUGACAAUUGAGACAGCCACCAUAACUUUUCAUCCUGGUAUGUGUGACCUGAGGCAAGAUUCUUGACUUUGCUAGGCUUUAGCAACCUGAUCUAUGAAAUGAAGAUGAUAGGUCAUGAUGUCAUCCACUGAGUGAGAAGAUGCAAACAAACACAUCAGGGAGGGCCUAC